GUUCCUUAAACUUCAUAAAAUACGCGAUUACUUGAUAGGAGCCCCUGCUGGCUACGCGCUUGAAAUCAGGCACUCCAAGCGGGAUUGAUCAUAAAUAGUUGACACAUUUCCGUACAUCGUUUAAAAAAGUAUUAUCACUAUAAGACCAGGGCUUCAAAUCCGCUUUCAGGAAUUUUGAAUUCUAUAUUACAGGAACUUUGAUAAGAG